UGAAACAGUCAGGCACCCGGUUUCUACUGCUCGACGGAAAUUUACUCAGCUGAACGAGGCUUUGCCAAUGUAGUCCUUCUUGAUUUCAACUGUUUCAACGCUCUCAAUUCCACGACCCAUCACAACAAUUUUCAAAGGGAGACAGACAGGCACAUACAUGCCUUGCUCCACAACUGCUUUUUUUACCACCAGUUUUCAGCAGUAACUUCUCGACUGUUGCAGCAACUGACACGGCGAUAGGCAGGUGUUGGAUCGACGCUUUUGCAGUUGCAUGCAGGCUCUCUUCUCCACUCUAUUUAAACACGGGUUGCUGAAUUUCUCUUUGCAAGUCCAUCCAUCCAUCUUUAGUUUCUUCACUUUUGUUAUUGCUAAACUUCCUUUUCUGCUUACAAAAUCCUUGUAGUUUUCAAUUCAAGAAACCAGUGGAUUCAUAAUGGUUAUGAAUGUUAUUUUCAUUUGCUGACAUGGGAAAUUUUCCUUAUCAGAGCUUCCAGAGUCUUGCCUUAGUUGCUCUUCAGUAGCUAGAAGCAGCUUUAAGCUGUGGACAAUCUCAGCUGUUGAAAAGCAUGAUGGGGGCUGACAGCAAACUCAUUCAAGGAUGGACUUGAUGAUGGCUUUGGUCCUCAGGUCAUGACCAAACUGAUGUCUACCAAGCCAAAUAAGGCAUCAAAAUGGAGUUACCAGGGAGUGGCUGAAAACCAUGACAAACAAAUUGCAACUUCAGUUUUAGCCCCUCAAUUUUACUCACAUUCCAAACAUUAUUACCCUCUUUUACUCACAUUCCUAACAUUACAUAACCCUUUAUUAGUUUAUAAAAUUC